CUCAUCACCAUGGUUCCUACACGAGCCGAUUCCAAAGCUGGGCUCUGGGGGAAGGAACCUUUACUCCUACCUUGUUUGUUACCAUCACUCCUCCUCUUGAUAUAAGCAACAGGAAGACUGAAGCUGAGGGAAAGUGACAGAGGAGAAUCCUCCCAUGAGUUGACCUCAUGAUCUCCAUACAUGAGAGGGCAAAGAUGAGAGAGAGAAGCCAAAAUCACAGCAGCAACAGCAGCCAACUUCAGACGCGUAACACAGACAGAACAAGCAACAUCCCACAGCACCGAGGUGUGGAAACUAACCCUAUGGGAGAUUUGGUGACUUCUUUUUAAUCAUCACACCAUGUCAGAGGAGGAGAAUUCAAACAGACGCUUCAGUUCAGAAACACAUAAAAGAAAAUUGAUUUUCAUCCAGAAAAUGUCAAACUCCUGCCUAUAACACUCAGCUAUGCCUUCCUGAAACAGCAGAGUUCAAAAAGAGCCAUCGACCUGACAGAUCUUUGACACUUCAUGAUGGAUGCUACGUAUCUCCUCCUUUAUGGCUAUAACGUCCUCCAACAGAAUGAGACAAUGAAUGAAAAAUAAUAAAUCUAAACUGCAUCAUAAACUAAGUUGUUUUAAGUGUAUUAAAGGAGAAACAACAGGACCUCUACCACUCUGGAAAGAGACUUAUAAACUUUCAAGUUAACACUUGUGUAUUUCUUGUUUAGCUAAGUCCAUUGUGUUAUGAAUCAACCUAUAUAAGUUGUACCAUUCAACAAGGUUAAACUUUAAAAUGUAUAAAG